CUGAGCCACCUUCUAAAAGUUUGUCCACUUCAGAGAGUGAGAGCAGGAUCCAAGAGAACUAUUGUGGUGAACAGGGAGCAAAUGACCGCAUGGAGGAGUGUGUAGAAGAGCAAAGGUUGAAGAUGCUCAUUUGCCAACUUGUGAGGAUUCUCUUUCAUCAUUGAAUGAAAAGAAAGAUGACUCUGAUAAAGGGGUACUAUCCCCUAAUGCAACUGCCCCAAUGUUUCUUCAAAAAGUUACGAAAAGACAAGUUCUUCUGUUGCACUUUUAGAAGGUGCACCAUCUGUCAAAGGAGUUGGAGAAGCACAACAUUUAAAUUCUCGUGGACGACCUGUCAGUUCUACAUCUUCACAUUCUGAUUGUGUAGGCACUGUCUCAGUUACCAAUGGCCGCGGUUUAUCACCAAGCUCAUCAGUUGGUUCAUUAUCAUCAGAGAAGUCAACACUGAAUCCCCAUGCUAAGGAAUUCAAACUAAAUCCCAAUGCCAAGAGUUUCACCCCUUCUCAAACUCCUGUUAGGCCUCUUUCUCCAGAUGGUUCCCUUUAUUUUCAACCUAACAUUCCUAGUCUGCCACAUAUGCAUGGUGUGCCUAUGGGAAUUGGAAUUGGACCAUCAUUUACUGGCCAUCAGCCGGUUAUAUUUAAUCCACAGGUUGCAUCAUUGCAAACACCACAAGCAUAUUUUCAU
rnacentral:misc_RNA from 1 species